rnacentral:rRNA from 1 species
AUGAACGCUAGCUACAGGCUUAACACAUGCAAGUCGAGGGGCAGCAUUUUAGUUUGCUUGCAAACUAAAGAUGGCGACCGGCGCACGGGUGAGUAACACGUAUCCAACCUGCCGAUAACUCGGGGAUAGCCUUUCGAAAGAAAGAUUAAUAUCCGAUAGCAUAUUAGAACCGCAUGGUUUUACUAUUAAAGAAUUUCGGUUAUCGAUGGGGAUGCGUUCCAUUAGUUUGUUGGCGGGGUAACGGCCCACCAAGACUACGAUGGAUAGGGGUUCUGAGAGGAAGGUCCCCCACAUUGGAACUGAGACACGGUCCAAACUCCUACGGGAGGCAGCAGUGAGGAAUAUUGGUCAAUGGACGAGAGUCUGAACCAGCCAAGUAGCGUGAAGGAUGACUGCCCUAUGGGUUGUAAACUUCUUUUAUAUGGGAAUAAAGUAUUCCACGUGUGGGAUUUUGUAUGUACCAUAUGAAUAAGGAUCGGCUAACUCCGUGCCAGCAGCCGCGGUAAUACGGAGGAUCCGAGCGUUAUCCGGAUUUAUUGGGUUUAAAGGGAGCGUAGGUGGAUUGUUAAGUCAGUUGUGAAAGUUUGCGGCUCAACCGUAAAAUUGCAGUUGAAACUGGCAGUCUUGAGUACAGUAGAGGUGGGCGGAAUUCGUGGUGUAGCGGUGAAAUGCUUAGAUAUCACGAAGAACUCCGAUUGCGAAGGCAGCUCACUAGACUGCAACUGACACUGAUGCUCGAAAGUGUGGGUAUCAAACAGGAUUAGAUACCCUGGUAGUCCACGCUGUAAACGAUGAUUACUAGGUGUGGGGGGUCUGACCCCUUCCGUGCCGGAGUUAACACAAUAAGUAAUCCACCUGGGGAGUACGGCCGCAAGGUUGAAACUCAAAGGAAUUGACGGGGGCCCGCACAAGCGGAGGAACAUGUGGUUUAAUUCGAUGAUACGCGAGGAACCUUACCCGGGCUUAAAUUGCAUUUGAAUAAUCUGGAAACAGGUUAGCCGCAAGGCAAAUGUGAAGGUGCUGCAUGGUUGUCGUCAGCUCGUGCCGUGAGGUGUCGGCUUAAGUGCCAUAACGAGCGCAACCCUUAUCUUUAGUUACUAACAGGUUAUGCUGAGGACUCUAGAGAGACUGCCGUCGUAAGAUGUGAGGAAGGUGGGGAUGACGUCAAAUCAGCACGGCCCUUACGUCCGGGGCUACACACGUGUUACAAUGGGGGGUACAGAAGGCAGCUACCUGGCGACAGGAUGCUAAUCCCAAAAACCUCUCUCAGUUCGGAUCGAAGUCUGCAACCCGACUUCGUGAAGCUGGAUUCGCUAGUAAUCGCGCAUCAGCCAUGGCGCGGUGAAUACGUUCCCGGGCCUUGUACACACCGCCCGUCAAGCCAUGAAAGCCGGGGGUACCUGAAGUACGUAACCGCAAGGAGCGUCCUAGGGUAAAACUGGUAAUUGGGGCU